GAAAUUAUUAGGUACACGCGAAUGCUCCUAUCUCUCACCCGACUAUCUAUAAAUAACGCAAUUCCUAACAAAUUCCAUGGUGCAUUUCACUCUGGUGAGCUUGCUCUUCCUAGGCUCUGUUUGAGUUAAUCGUUCUUUUGCUAUAUCUCAUCGGCAAGCCGCUCCAUGGCUAACAAUGCCAUUUUCGUCAAAACUCUAAAGAAAACAGAUAUUGCUAAAAGGCUGGCAAUACCAGCAAAGGCCUUGAGACUUUUGCCAAACUUCGAAGACAGCCGGAUGUCCAUUGAAGUCACGGACCAUGAGGGAUUGUUCUGGCGUUUCGAGUGCUCCAUUCGCAGAAUUGGGCACCCAAGGCCUGUUCUUGCUGGCAGGAACUGGUUGGCGUUUGUUCGUCGUCGGAAUCUCAAAGUUGGCGACAAAAUCCGCUUAUAUAGAGAGCGUCAUGAAUUCCGUGAGGUAGAGUUCAAGAUUGUCGUUCAAGUGGCCGGUUAAGGUGUGCGUGUGUGUGCGCGCGCGCUAGGAAAUCAACAAGCCAAGCUGCUUCUUUCCUGUUUUGUGUUGUUGUAAUCUAUAUAUGGUAAUGAAAUCUGUUUCUUAUGCUCUUUUCUUUUGCUAUUUGCUCCAGUCCUGCUCUGUGAUCAGCAAUAAUGUUCAGGAGUGUUCAUUUCCUUUUGUUCUGUUUCUUACUCUGUUUUGUUAUGAUCUUUCCAUAUAUGUUGAUUGUGUUUGUUUUUGUUUCCUGUUCUUCUGUCUCAUUAUGCUCUUCAUUGAAAAUCUAGCCUAGAUUACGUUCUACCUGAAUUCUGUUGCAUGUACUUCGUCCCUAAAAGGCAUAAAAGGAUCGUGCAGAUAGUAAGUAUGGCUAGCGCUUGAGCUGGACCACAAGGAAAUAGUUUAUUUUUAAUUUCGAUUUAACCACUUUUUUUAUUUGAUUUCACUUCAGUCUGUGUUAG
rnacentral:misc_RNA from 1 species